GUGUCAGCAGCCGCGGUAAUACGGAGGGUGCGAGCGUUGUCCGGAAUCACUGGGCGUAAAGGGCGCGUAGGCGGCGCGACAAGUCAAUGGUGAAAGCCCGAGGCUCAACUUCGGGUCGGCCACUGAUACUGUUGGGCUUGAGCACUGUAGAGGCAGGUGGAAUUCCGGGUGUAGCGGUGGAAUGCGUAGAGAUCCGGAAGAACACCGGUGGCGAAGGCGGCCUGCUGGGCAGUAGCUGACGCUGAGGCGCGACAGCGUGGGGAGCAAACAGGAUUAGAAACCCUUGUAGUCC
rnacentral:rRNA from 1 species